UAGCGGCGAACGGGUGAGUAACACGUAAGGAAUCUACCUAUAAGCGGGGGAUAACAUUCGGAAACGGGUGCUAAUACCGCAUAAUAUCUUCUUCCGCAUGGAAGAAGAUUGAAAGACGGCUCUGCUGUCACUUAUAGAUGACCUUGCGGUGCAUUAGUUAGUUGGUGGGGUAACGGCCUACCAAGACGAUGAUGCAUAGCCGACCUGAGAGGGUGAUCGGCCACAUUGGGACUGAGACACGGCCCAAACUCCUACGGGAGGCAGCAGUAGGGAAUCUUCCGCAAUGGGCGAAAGCCUGACGGAGCAAUGCCGCGUGAGUGAAGAAGGCCUUCGGGUCGUAAAACUCUGUUAUAAGAGAAGAACAAAUUGUAGAGUAACUGCUACAGUCUUGACGGUAUCUUAUCAGAAAGCCACGGCUAACUACGUGCCAGCAGCCGCGGUAAUACGUAGGUGGCAAGCGUUGUCCGGAUUUAUUGGGCGUAAAGGGAGCGCAGGUGGUUUCUUAAGUCUGAUGUGAAAGCCCACGGCUUAACCGUGGAGGGUCAUUGGAAACUGGGAAACUUGAGUACAGAAGAGGAAUGUGGAACUCCAUGUGUAGCG
rnacentral:rRNA from 1 species